rnacentral:rRNA from 1 species
ACGUAGGAGGCGAGCGUUAUCCGGAUUUAUUGGGCGUAAAGCGCAUGCAGGCUGUUUUCUAAGUCGGACGUGAAAGCUCCUGGCUCAACUAGGAGAGGUUGUUCGAAACUGGAAGACUUGAGGAUGGUAGAGGUGAGUGGAAUUCCCGGUGUAGUGGUGAAAUGCGUAGAUAUCGGGAGGAACACCAGUGGCGAAAGCGGCUCACUGGGCCAUACCUGACGCUCAGAUGCGAAAGCUAGGGGGGAGAACGGGAUUAGAAACCCCGGUAUUCCUAGCCGUAAACGAUGUCAACUAGGCGUAGGAGGUUAUUGACCCCUUCUGUGCUGUAGCUAACGCGUUAAGUUGACCGCCUGGGGACUACGGCCGCAAGGCUA